rnacentral:rRNA from 1 species
AGUGAACGCUGGCGGUAGGCCUAACACAUGCAAGUCGAACGGCAGCACAGUAAGAGCUUGCUCUUACGGGUGGCGAGUGGCGGACGGGUGAGGAAUACAUCGGAAUCUACUUUUUCGUGGGGGAUAACGUAGGGAAACUUACGCUAAUACCGCAUACGACCUACGGGUGAAAGCAGGGGAUCUUCGGACCUUGCGCGAUUGAAUGAGCCGAUGUCGGAUUAGCUAGUUGGCGGGGUAAAGGCCCACCAAGGCGACGAUCCGUAGCUGGUCUGAGAGGAUGAUCAGCCACACUGGAACUGAGACACGGUCAAGACUCCUACGGGAGGCAGCAGUGGGGAAUAUUGGACAAUGGGCGCAAGCCUGAUACAGCCAUACCGCGUGGGUGAAGAAGGCCUUCGGGUUGUAAAGCCCUUUUGUUGGGAAAGAAAAGCAGCAGGUUAAUACCCAGCUGUUCUGACGGUACCCAAAGAAUAAGCACCGGCUAACUUCGUG